UUACCUAAAUAUGGUCAGCUGCCACUAAAGAAUCUCAAUUCAGCCACAAACAUUACAAAACUUUAUCUACUAUGACUACUCAUUACUCAAUAAUUCAGCUCCCAUUACUCAAUAAUUCAACAAAUGAAUUUAACAAGAAAGAAACUAUCUUUUCCAAACACAAAUUGAAUUACACACUGCAGUGUGAAUAAAAGAGAAAAGAAAUUACAAAAUACAAAACAAAACUCUUGGACUUCACAAACUUGGAGCUCCAGCUUUGGCAAUCCAAGCCUGCCUUGCAGAGUCUUUCUUCUUGUCCACUACAUCAGAGCGCAGGGAUUCCCUUCCAAAAAACUAAAAAAUUCGUGAAAAAUAGAAAACUUUAAAAUCAGUACCCUGAUAAAACAUUAUAACAACAAUCAAUCAAUAAAAGUUGAACCUUCGACAAAAUUCACAGAGCUGACUGUCAUCUUCGCCGGUGAUUUCAUGGGAACAAAUUUUCAAAAGAUAAUCUUCAAAAUUUUUAGCAAGAUCGACGACCCAAUUGGAUUCUAGGUCACGAUACGGCUUUACGAUGUGAAAUUUUUUGUUGGCAUCAUAACUGCUCGGUCCUUCUUUGUUUUGGUUCAUCUUUUGUGGACUAAUUUCUUUUAAAACCCUAAUUCUUCAAAAUUUGGGGCUGGAGGUAAGAAGAAAAUGGCUUAGGAACUGAAUUUUAGCUUCAAGAUAUCAUAUUUAAAAAUUGAAGCAGCAAUUCCAUAAACCCCUAAUUGAUACAAUAAGCGAGAGAGCUAGAGAGGCAAGCCAAAUAUUAAUAGAUUAUCAUUAACAAUUGGAAGAGUCGAAGAUGAGUCUGGAAAAUUAAAAAAAUUACCUAUGAAAAAUCUGGAGUCUGGAGACUAGAGGCAGCGCCGCAGCGGAUGCCGAAGUUCAGAAGUUCUGAACUGAAUAGAAGACUGGAGAUCGGAGCAGUUGGGAAACGGGAUAGGGAGGAACAGUCGAGAUGGAGAGGAACGGUGACCGGUGGUAGAGCAUCAGAGCAGUCCGAGGUUGGGAGUUGGGAUUUGGGAGCAAUCGAGAAUUCG
rnacentral:lncRNA from 1 species